UAGCAGAAAGAAGAGCAAGGAGAAGUUGGUGAAGCUGGGGCAAAGUGAGGAUAUGUGUGCGUGCAGUUUAUGUCCAUGCUGCAGAUAUAAAGGAUGAAGUUGUAGGGCAGGAAGUCUUAUGUAACUUGGAGCAGCUACUCAAUGGAAAUCACAAACAGAAUGAGUUUCAUCCACAUGUCAAGACACUACUACCAACAGAGCUAUUUCAGGACACCUACCUAAAUAACUAGCUGUCUCUUCCACUUAAAGCAAGAGCGUAUAAUGGAGUUAGGAUGACUGGAUACACAUGUAAGUCAUCAUCUUUACGUGCUUAUUGUCACUUGGAUCUGGCAGGUUGACUAUUGAAUAGUACCCGACUGGCACUAAUAAAAUUGCUAAACUGCUGU
ensembl:lncRNA LINC01798 long intergenic non-protein coding RNA 1798